rnacentral:rRNA from 1 species
UUUAUGGAGAGUUUGAUCCUGGCUCAGAGUGAACGCUGGCGGCGUGCCUAAUACAUGCAAGUCGAACGAUGAAGCUUCUAGCUUGCUAGAAUGCUGAUUAGUGGCGCACGGGUGAGUAACGCAUAGGUUAUGUGCCUUUUAGUUUGGGAUAGCCAUUGGAAACGGUGAUUAAUACCAGAUACUCCCUACGGGGGAAAGAUUUAUCGCUAAGAGAUCAGCCUAUGUCCUAUCAGCUUGUUGGUAAGGUAAUGGCUUACCAAGGCUAUGACGGGUAUCCGGCCUGAGAGGGUGAACGGACACACUGGAACUGAGACACGGUCCAGACUCCUACGGGAGGCAGCAGUAGGGAAUAUUGCUCAAUGGGGGAAACCCUGAAGCAGCAACGCCGCGUGGAGGAUGAAGGUUUUAGGAUUGUAAACUCCUUUUGUUAGAGAAGAUAAUGACGGUAUCUAACGAAUAAGCACCGGCUAACUCCGUGCCAGCAGCCGCGGUAAUACGGAGGGUGCAAGCGUUACUCGGAAUCACUGGGCGUAAAGAGCGCGUAGGCGGGAUAGUCAGUCAGGUGUGAAAUCCUAUGGCUUAACCAUAGAACUGCAUUUGAAACUACUAUUCUAGAGUGUGGGAGAGGUAGGUGGAAUUCUUGGUGUAGGGGUAAAAUCCGUAGAGAUCAAGAGGAAUACUCAUUGCGAAGGCGACCUGCUGGAACAUUACUGACGCUGAUUGCGCGAAAGCGUGGGGAGCAAACAGGAUUAGAUACCCUGGUAGUCCACGCCCUAAACGAUGGAUGCUAGUUGUUGGAGGGCUUAGUCUCUCCAGUAAUGCAGCUAACGCAUUAAGCAUCCCGCCUGGGGAGUACGGUCGCAAGAUUAAAACUCAAAGGAAUAGACGGGGACCCGCACAAGCGGUGGAGCAUGUGGUUUAAUUCGAAGAUACACGAAGAACCUUACCUAGGCUUGACAUUGAGAGAAUCCGCUAGAAAUAGUGGAGUGUCUGGCUUGCCAGACCUUGAAAACAGGUGCUGCACGGCUGUCGUCAGCUCGUGUCGUGAGAUGUUGGGUUAAGUCCCGCAACGAGCGCAACCCCCUUUCUUAGUUGCUAACAGGUUAUGCUGAGAACUCUAAGGAUACUGCCUCCGUAAGGAGGAGGAAGGUGGGGACGACGUCAAGUCAUCAUGGCCCUUACGCCUAGGGCUACACACGUGCUACAAUGGGGUGCACAAAGAGAAGCAAUACUGCGAAGUGGAGCCAAUCUUCAAAACACCUCUCAGUUCGGAUUGUAGGCUGCAACUCGCCUGCAUGAAGCUGGAAUCGCUAGUAAUCGCAAAUCAGCCAUGUUGCGGUGAAUACGUUCCCGGGUCUUGUACUCACCGCCCGUCACACCAUGGGAGUUGUGUUUGCCUUAAGUCAGGAUGCUAAAUUGGCUACUGCCCACGGCACACACAGCGACUGGGGUGAAGUCGUAACAAGGUAACCGUAGGUGAACCUGCGGUUGGAUCACCUCCUUU